rnacentral:rRNA from 1 species
UACGUAGGGGCCAAGCGUUGUCCGGAAUUAUUGGGCGUAAAGAGCUCGUAGGCGGUCUGUCGCGUCUGCUGUGAAAACUCAGGGCUUAACCCUGAGCUUGCAGUGGGUACGGGCAGACUAGAGUGCGGUAGGGGAGACUGGAAUUCCUGGUGUAGCGGUGAAAUGCGCAGAUAUCAGGAGGAACACCGGUGGCGAAGGCGGGUUGCUGGGCUGAUACUGACGCUGAUGCGCGAAAGCCAGGGGAGCGAACGGG